rnacentral:rRNA from 1 species
UAAGGUAGCGAAAUUCCUUGUCGGGUAAGUUCCGACCUGCACGAAUGGUGUAAUGAUGGCCAGGCUGUCUCCACCAGAGACUCAGUGAAAUUGAAAUUGCGGUGAAGAUGCCGUAUACCCGCGGCUAGACGGAAAGACCCCGUGAACCUUUACUAUAGCUUGGCACUGAACAUUGACCCUACAUGUGUAGGAUAGGUGGGAGACUUUGAAGUUGGAACGCCAGUUCUGAUGGAGUCGUCCUUGAAAUACCACCCUUGUAUGUUUGAUGUUCUAACGUGGGCCCCUAAUCGGGGUUGCGGACAGUGUCUGGUGGGUAGUUUGACUGGGGCGGUCUCCUCCUAAAGAGUAACGGAGGAGCACGAAGGUUGGCUAAGUACGGUCGGACAUCGUACGGUUAGUGCAAAGGCAGAAGCCAGCUUAACUGCGAGACAGACACGUCGAGCAGGUACGAAAGUAGGUCUUAGUGAUCCGGUGGUUCUGUAUGGAAGGGCCAUCGCUCAACGGAUAAAAGGUACUCCGGGGAUAACAGGCUGAUACCGCCCAAGAGUUCAUAUCGACGGCGGUGUUUGGCACCUCGAUGUCGGCUCAUCACAUCCUGGGGCUGAAGUCGGUCCCAAGGGUAUGGCUGUUCGCCAUUUAAAGUGGUACGCGAGCUGGGUUUAGAACGUCGUGAGACAGUUCGGUCCCUAUCUGCCGUGGGCGUUGGAUGAUUGAUUGGAGUUGCUCCUAGUACGAGAGGACCGGAGUGAACGAACCGCUGGUGUUCGGGUUGUCAUGCCAAUGGCACUGCCCGGUAGCUAUGUUCGGAACGGAUAACCGCUGAAAGCAUCUAAGCGGGAAGCCGGCCAAAAGAUGAGUCAUCCCUUGUACCUUGAGUACACAUAAGGGUCGUUGGAGACCACAACGUUGAUAGGUGAGGUGUGGAAGCGUGGUGACACGUUAAGCUAACUCAUACUAAUUGCCCGAGAGGCUUAACCAUACAACGCCCAAGGUGUU